rnacentral:rRNA from 1 species
GUCUUGACNUCCUUUGACCNCUCGAGAGANCGAGCUUUCCCUUCGGGGACAAAGUGACAGGUGGUGCAUGGUUGUCGUCAGCUCGUGUCGUGAGAUGUUGGGUUAAGUCCCGCAACGAGCGCAACCCUUAUUACUAGUUGCCAGCAUUCAGUUGGGCACUCUAGUGAGACUGCCGGUGACAAACCGGAGGAAGGUGGGGAUGACGUCAAAUCAUCAUGCCCCUUAUGACCUGGGCUACACACGUGCUACAAUGGAUGGUACAACGAGUCGCGAAGUCGUGAGGCCAAGCUAAUCUCUUAAAGCCAUUCUCAGUUCGGAUUGUAGGCUGCAACUCGCCUACAUGAAGCCGGAAUCGCUAGUAAUCGCGGAUCAGAACGCCGCGGUGAAUACGUUCCCGGGAAA